GGUGCCAUCGUCUAGCCUGGCCUAGGACGCUGCCCUUUCACGGCGGAAACUCGGGUUCGAAUCCCGAUGGCACUACCA
rnacentral:tRNA from 1 species